rnacentral:rRNA from 1 species
AUUGAACGCUGGCGGAAUGCUUUACACAUGCAAGUCGAACGGCAGCACGGGGCAACCUGGUGGCGAGUGGCGAACGGGUGAGUAAUACAUCGGAACGUGCCCAAUCGUGGGGGAUAACGUAGCGAAAGUUACGCUAAUACCGCAUACGAUCUACGGAUGAAAGCGGGGGAUCGCAAGACCUUGCGCGAUUGGAGCGGCCGAUGUCAGAUUAGGUAGUUGGUGGGGUAAAGGCUCACCAAGCCGACGAUCUGUAGCUGGUCUGAGAGGACGACCAGCCACACUGGGACUGAGACACGGCCCAGACUCCUACGGGAGGCAGCAGUGGGGAAUUUUGGACAAUGGGCGCAAGCCUGAUCCAGCCAUUCCGCGUGCAGGAUGAAGGCCUUCGGGUUGUAAAGCACUUUCGUUGGGGAUGAUAAUGACCGUACCCAAAGAAGAAGCCACGCUAAAUCGUG